rnacentral:tRNA from 1 species
GUCCCUACAGCGCAGUGGAGCGCGCGCUGGACUUCUAAUCCAGAGGUCGUGGGUUCAAAUCCCACUAGGGAUA